UGAAUAUCUAGACUACAAUAUAACAAUUUAUCAAGUACAAAUACAUAAUCAUGUCACGAAUUCCGUGUUGACAACGCCAUAUAAUCGGCACAUGUUUUACGCACGCUGUUCCGAUACAUAUUCGAUCUUUGAGUGCCUGAUACUGUCAAGACUACCUUCAAGUUGGUUAAAGAAUAUUUUUAUGUUUGAGUUCGGACUUCUGUACAAGCAAAUGAUGAUUGAGGGAGUCUUUUUGUUGUGCCUAUCUGCGACUCAGCAUCUCCGCUGUAUGUUUCACAGGCUACAAACAAGUCUGUGAUGCCCAGACCAACAUCCUAGAAUGAAGUACAGGGUCCGCUGUUCGACUACGAGACAGUGCAGCCUACCCCGAGUCAUGAAAGCAGCCGCAGCUGGAGCAGAGAGCCGCCCGCUCGCCGGAGGGAGGCCAAGGCUGCCCCCCUGGAAUUGUCAGCUGUGCUGCCAUGCUGUCAUCAUGGUUGCAGCCAGAGACAUCACUAACAGCUGCAUUCAAGUGACACCAUGCUCAGCCCUGCCCUUUGCACCGCCAGCAAUGCCAGACGUCUAUUGUUUUGCGUUAGGCAACUGUACACUUUCACCAAGCUGUUCCUGCUGUACUACGGCCAAGGGCUGGAAUAAAGAGGUUAAUUAAACAAG